rnacentral:rRNA from 1 species
GACGAACGCUGGCGGCGUGCUUAACACAUGCAAGUCGAACGAUGACGACCGAGCUUGCUCGGUCUGAUUAGUGGCGAACGGGUGAGUAACACGUGAGCAACCUGCCCUUCACUCUGGGAUAACCUCGGGAAAUCGGGGCUAAUACCGGAUAUGAGCUCCUGUCGCAUGGCGGGUGUUGGAAAGUUUUUCGGUGAAGGAUGGGCCCGCGGCCUAUCAGUUUGUUGGUGGGGUAGUGGCCAACCAAGGCGAUGACGGGUAGCCGGCCUGAGAGGGCGACCGGCCACACUGGGACUGAGACACGGCCCAGACUCCUACGGGAGGCAGCAGUGGGGAAUAUUGCACAAUGGGCGAAAGCCUGAUGCAGCGACGCCGCGUGAGGGAUGACGGCCUUCGGGUUGUAAACCUCUUUCAGCAGGGAAGAAGCGAAAGUGACGGUACCUGCAGAAGAAGCGCCGGCUAACUACGUG